AGGAAACUUGAGCCUGGUGUGGUUUCUGCCCGCACCCCGCCCCCACCUUGCUCCCAGCCAGCGGGGGCGCACAGGGCUCCCAGCCUCUCCCAGCCUCUCCCAAGCCUGUCUUUCGGCCCAGGAACCCCGCCAGGUCUUGCCAGGUCUGCGUCCAACUCCACGGUCCACUCCCAAAUGACCUCUACACUGUAUACAGGUUGCAGCUUCUUUCUUCUGGCCCCACAGCUCUCUCUGUAGGUCGGGGAAACUGAGUCAUGGCGAGGUGGAGGACUGCUGAAAGACCAGAUGUUUCACUUCUCAACUGUCAGCAGUGUAGCUGAGAAAUGACCUGAAGAGAGAUCUCAAUGAAGUGUCCUUGGAGCAGUAGAAGAAAUACAUCCUGCCUAGUGAAAAA